AUAUCAUGAUGAGGACACUUUCUGAUGAGAUCCUUGAACCUCUCCCAAGACUCAUGGAGAGAUUCAUUAUCCAGCUGAAAAAAAAUUGUUGAUUUCUCCUCGCAGCUU